UACGUAGGGGGCAAGCGUUGUCCGGAUUUAUUGGGCGUAAAGAGCGUGUAGGCGGCCUGAAAGGUCAGCUGUGAAAACUCGAGGCUCAACCUCGAGACGUCGGUUGAAACCAUCUGGCUAGAGUCCGGAAGAGGAGUGUGGAAUUCCCGGUGUAGCGGUGAAAUGACGCAGAUAUCGGGAAGAACACCCGUGGCGAAGGCGGCACUCUGGGACGGUACUGACGCUGAGACGCGAAAGCGUGGGAGCGAACGAGG
rnacentral:rRNA from 1 species